rnacentral:tRNA from 1 species
ACACUUUUAGUAUAAUAGUACUUUUAACUUCCAAUUAAAAAGCCCAAUUUAUUGGAAAGUGUA